UUAGGAGGUGGAGUUGGCGUACUCGCCUCUGCAUGCAUCCCAGAAAGCACAGCUAUCUUUGGGAAGUCGAUGGUGCCCUUCGAAAUAUAAAGGUAUUGCCAUUGAGCAGGCGGGUCUCUUUCUUGGUAACAACGUGAAGGAAGGAGGAAUCGGCUAAAGGUUUGCACCAAACCUGUUUGACCUCCCAUUGCCCUGUGGUACAGAAAAUAUGGAUAAAUUGGAGAGUACUGGAGGUGCUUCUCUCAAGUUGGAUAUAUAUGACAAAAUGAAAAAUCAAGUGAGACCAGGUGAGCUGACAUGAAAGCCAUGUUUUUGGAGUGGAGUUUAUUGCAUGGCCUGCUCUGUCUGGAUGAUGCACCUGAUUGAUCUCGUGUGGUAGUGAGAUCAUUACUGGAGCAGAAGCCAUAACUCCUGCUGCACAGUGCAGUAACCUAAAAGGAACAAGGUCUUGGCAGCUGCAGAAAACAUGGAAGUGACAUCUGUCUGUCUAGAUUUGGUUUGUAAGAUUGUAGCAGUUGGAAUUAGAAUGGGUUCUAGUACAGCAGCCCAGUCUUUUGAAACUCUGGCACAAUUUAGCCUUGUCAUUCUUGUAAGGUAUAACUCGAUGUUUGUUGUAAAAAUGAAUGCCUAAAUCCCAAUGCAAAUAACUCAAAUUUCUGUAAGUGACUUUGGAGUUUCAGAUAUCAAACAUGUAAAUCUUUUUGUAAGACUUGUUACUAUGUAAAUAAACUUAACUGGAAAAUUC